AUGGACAUUUACACUCGGAUAUUUCAUUCUAUCUCAAUCCUUUUUCAAAUAAACUAUUCUCUGCCACACGUAAAUACCUAUGCCCAAAUUUCUUCAAAUCCAUGGAAUCCAUAAAAUUGAAUAUCAUUGCCCAAAAUACUCAAGUUUCAUCUCACAGUAGUUCAGUUCGCAAUGGAUUCGAAGAAAUUUGAAAGAUAUAUGUAUAUACACACACAAAGAAAUGAAGGAUUUAGGGUUUAAUCUUUGACCUUUUUGUUGUUACUUCUUCCAAUUCUCUUUACACAUCAUCAUCAUAUAUGGAUUACAUUUAAAUCCUUGAAAAAGGGUUUCAAUUGUCGUUGAUAUUGAUGUUGUUGUUAUUGUAGUUAGUGGUCGUAGUGUUAUAAUGUGAGGCUGUGAUUUUCAUUGUCGUUGAUAUUAAUGUUGUUGUUACUGUUGUUACUGGUGGUGGUAUUAUAAUAUAAGGCUGUGAUGAUUGAGGUGUGUAGAGUUCAUGGGUAACGGAGAUAUGCCUGUAGCUUGGCAGGGCAACCCAGAUUUCAACAAGAACAAUAACUCAUUCAAUUCACCUACCACUUUCUCAUAACAUCCCUUCAAUGGCUGAGUUUUGGGUUCUUUCUUAUAUUAUCUAGAGUGGAAUGAAUUGUGGGUAUGAUUUCUUUUUUUGUUAAUUUGAUUUAGGUUGGUAGAUUCUUGGUUCUGGGUUUGGUUCUAUGUAUGUAUGUGUGCUGGUAAAGACUCCAUCUUUAUGUGACUUAUUGUAUUAAUCUAAUGCUUUUCAUCAAAUGAUAGACGAUAUUCUAUAGGAAUACCCUCUCUACCUCUAUGAGGUAAUAAUAAGGUUUGCGUACAAACCCCACUUGUGGGAUUACACUACGAUGUUGAUAUUGGUUUUCCAAUGAUCAAUUUGAUGAAUAACCUUGUUGAAGAUAUUGUGUUGGAACACUACCAUUUGUUUCUACUGUUUGUUGUCUUGAUCUAAUGUAGGAAAAAUUAUUGUUUAUUGGAAAAUUGUUAUGGAAAUGAUUUAGCCAAUCAAUUAUUGUAGGUGUUGGUUAGGUAUUCUAUUUUUGUCAUUUUAAUUUUUGAUAUUAAAAAUGAUAUUGCCCUAUGCACUUUUACAAGUUUUUGUUUGUCUUGAUCUAAGUUAGGAAAGUAAUUGCUUACUAAAAGUUUCUUAUGAAAAUGAUUUACCAACUAAUCCAUAGUUAUUGAAUUACUAGUCUUUAUUAGAUGACAUUCUUGAAAUUGAAAAAUAUCAACUUGAAGCUCAAAGAUGGAGUUGUUGAUCUUAUCUUUGGUAAAUGUUCGAAGAUGGAGUUGUUGAUCUUAUCUUUGGUAAAUGUUCUAAUUGAUUAGAAUCAACAAUCAUAUAAAUUUAUGGCCUGAACUCCAUAGCCUUUUCAUGAUUCGUAUUGGUAAGAAGUUCUCGAUCCUGCACAUUUCUGGAACAAGUCUCAUUGGAUGAUUUGUGCUUAUUGAGUGCCAUCUUUCGCUCCUGUUUCGUCUCUAUAGCAUUUCUGUGAAGUUGGAUUCUAAUGUGCGUCCUCAUUUGGAUGUAUUUGGUGUUGCUUAACUGGAUUUCUUGCAACUAGUCCAAUCUGAUCUGGAUUCUUGUUCAAUUUGAAGUUAACUAUCAUGUGUCUCAUACGCAUAUCUGAUACUGUGAAGUCUUAUAAACCCCUUAAAAAUCAUCGGUAAAAGUAGGGAUGGUUUGUAUAGUUCAUUUGAUUUUUAAUUUUAGGUAUUGUAAAGGUAAUGGUUAAAAAUAUAAAUUUAUGUAGUUAGAACUCCUUGUAUGGACAUGUUAGCACAAGAGAUAAAGAAAUAAAGAAGUUGCAUCAGUUGAAGGCGUAGAAGCCUAACUAUGGCAGGUCUGUUACAUUUCUUUUUAAUGAUGAUAUUUAUGUUAGUGUGAUUUAGAGAAUUCUUGAUACCUGAAAAUUGAAGAAAUUAUGUGAUUUUGACUUUGCCAAUCGAAUAUCUCCUUAAGUGUUUACAUUAAUCAUUGGGAGUGUGGAAUUUCUAGAGUCCUAGGCCUUACCUAAAAUUUCUUCUGAGAAUUCAUGCUCUUGACAUUUGAUACAGUGAUUCCUAGUUUGACAACUAAACUGUUUAAACUUACAAUGAGUCAAAGAAAACCAUUCAAUGAUGAUCUAUAUAGUUGAAUUUUCUUUUCUCAAGUCACUGACUCCAACUUUUCCUAUGAUUGAUUCCAAAUUCUGAUUGAUCUUUAUUGUGCUAGCUAUUACUUUACCUAAAUAUUUCUUGUAUUGCAGUAACCCUCAAGAAGCUCGGUUCACAUUUGUUGGUGCUCAAGGGUGACCCUGGUGAGGCUGGGCAACCAUCUUGUGCAUCCACCCCUCUUUCAACUGCAAUAUCUUCACUUUCUCCUAUUGGAAAUACUGGAAGUUUUGCAGUCUCAGGAGUUCCAACUGUCAGAGAACUUGGUUAUGGGAGAUUUAGUAGAGUUAUGAUGUUACUGCAUUUCCAGUGAAGUCCUUCAGGACAAAGGAUUCCUUUUAAAGGCGUAUAAUCAGAAGCAUUGAAGAAAUUAUCAAUUGCUAACAAGGAAUUGUUGGAAAAUUUUUAGAAACCCAAGGGUGAUCCAUCUACAUUUCUAAAACCAGCUACAACUGUUUUAUCACCCUUCUUAAAGUUGUCUCUGUUCCGGUACUUCUAUCAGUGCAUUCGGGACAUUCAAAAAAGUGUUAUAAAGCAUACCUCUCCACCUGUUUCUCUCCUGGGAAAGUUGUUAUGGCACGGCUUUUUCUACACAGUUGCCUUCAGGACUCCUGAUUUUGAUCAAAUGAAGGGUAACAGAAUAUGCUAACAGGUGACAAGAGCAAUCAUCUUCAUUGAUUCGGAACAUGUAGGCAAGAUUCGAGCACAGUUAGCUGCCUGUAGUGUGCCGCUGGUAGGUGACUCAAUGUAUAUGCCUGCUGCAAUUGCUUAAAUGGUCAGUCCUGGGAACCAAUCCAUUUGGGAAGAACAAAAAACUAUAUACAAGCGAACAUUAAUGAUGAAUUGCAGCAUCAUUCAUCUGAUUCCUGCUACUAUCAUCAAAAGUCCAGUUUAUGAGAAAUGGAUGAGGAAAUUUGAUUUUGCGCAACAGAUUAUGGUUGAUGUAUGAGUAGUUAUGUUUAUUGUUUGAUCAGUGAACUUGGAAUUAUGUCUUGGUUUCAGUUUUAGCUUUAUGUCUGGUGUAUAUAGCCUUCUGAUAAAUAAUACAUGUUUAGUUAAAAAAAAUCUAUUACAAAUCUACAUUUUUGAAUUUUUAUUGA